rnacentral:rRNA from 1 species
UUAGCCCUACGGGGGGCAGCAGUGGGGAAUAUUGCACAAUGGGGGAAACCCUGAUGCAGCGACGCCGCGUGAGUGAAGAAGUAUUUCGGUAUGUAAAGCUCUAUCAGCAGGGAAGAAAAUGACGGUACCUGACUAAGAAGCCCCGGCUAACUACGUGCCAGCAGCCGCGGUAAUACGUAGGGGGCAAGCGUUAUCCGGAUUUAUUGGGUUUAAAGGGUGCGUAGGCGGAAUGCCAAGUCAGCGGUAAAAUCGCGGGGCUCAACCUCGCUCCGCCGUUGAAACUGGCGUUCUUGAGUGGGCGAGAA